GACGAACGCUGGCGGCGUGCUUAACACAUGCAAGUCGAACGGUAAGGCCCUUCGGGGUACACGAGUGGCGAACGGGUGAGUAACACGUGGGUGAUCUGCCCUGCACUUCGGGAUAAGCCUGGGAAACUGGGUCUAAUACCGGAUAGGACCACUGCAUGCAUGGGUGGCGGUGGAAAGCUUUUGCGGUGUGGGAUGGGCCCGCGGCCUAUCAGCUUGUUGGUGGGGUGAUGGCCUACCAAGGCGACGACGGGUAGCCGGCCUGAGAGGGUGACCGGCCACACUGGGACUGAGAUACGGCCCAGACUCCUACGGGAGGCAGCAGUGGGGAAUAUUGCACAAUGGGCGCAAGCCUGAUGCAGCGACGCCGCGUGAGGGAUGACGGCCUUCGGGUUGUAAACCUCUUUCAGCACCGACGAAGCGCAAGUGGCGGUAGGUGCAGAAGAAGGACCGGCCAACUACGUGCCAGCCGCCGCAGUAA
rnacentral:rRNA from 1 species